rnacentral:rRNA from 1 species
UUGGGCGUGAAAGCUCCGGGCUUAACCCGGAGAGCUCGUUCAAUACUGCAUAACUUGAGGGUGUCAGAGGGGAGCGGAAUUCCCGGUGUAGCGGUAAAAUGCGCAGAGAUCGGGAGGAACACCAGUGGCGGAGNCGGUUCCCUGGGGCACACCUGACGCUGAGAGACGAAAGCUAGGGGAGCGAACAGGAUUAGAGACCCUGGUAGUCCUAGCCCUAAACGAUGAAUGCUAGGUGUGGGAUCGAAUGGUUCCGUGCCGGAGCGAACGCGAUAAGCAUUCCGCCUGGGGAGUACGGCCGCAAGGUUAAAACUCAAACGAAUUGACGGGGCCCCGCACAAGCAGCGGAGCGUGUGGUUUAAUUCGAUGCUACACGAAGAACCUUACCUGGGUUUGACAUGUAGGUGGUAGUGAAUCGAAAGGUGAACGACCCUUCGGGGAGCCUACACAGGUGCUGCAUGGCUGUCGUCAGCUCGUGCCGUGAGGUGUCGGGUUAAGUCCCGUAACGAGCGCAACCCUUGCUCCUAGUUACAAGUGUCUAGGGGGACUGCCGGCGGAAAGCCGGAGGAAGGUGGGGAUGACGUCAAGUCAGCAUGGCCCUUAUAUCCAGGGCUACACACACGCUACAAUGGUCGGUACAAAGGGCAGCGAAACCGCGAGGCGGAGCGAAUCCGAGAAAAGCCGAUCGUAGUUCGGAUAGCAGGCUGCAACCCGCCUGCUUGAAGCUGGAGUUGCUAGUAACCGCGCGUCAGCCAUAGCGCGGUGAUACGUUCCCGGGGCUUGUACACACCGCCCGUCACGUCAUGGGAGUCGGUAACGCCUGAAGCCGGUAGUCUAACUGGAAACAGGAGACGCUGUCGAGGGCGGGACUGG